UUUGGUUAAGUUAGAAAGGGCGCACGGUGGAUGCCUUGACACUAGGAGUCGAUGAAGGACGGGACUAACGCCGAUAUGCUUCGGAGAGCUGUAAGUAAGCUUUGAUCCGAAGAUUUCCGAAUGGGGAAACCCACCAUACGUAAUGGUAUGGUAUCCUUAUCUGAAUACAUAGGGUAAGGAAGACAGACCCAGGGAACUGAAACAUCUAAGUACCUGGAGGAAGAGAAAGCAAAUGCGAUUUCCUGAGUAGCGGCGAGCGAAACGGAACAUAGCCCAAACCAAGAGGCUUGCCUCUUGGGGUUGUAGGACAUUCUAUACGGAGUUACAAAGGAACGAGGUAGACGAAGCGACCUGGAAAGGUCCGUCGUAGAGGGUAACAACCCCGUAGUCGAAACUUCGUUCUCUCUUGAAUGUAUCCUGAGUACGGCGGAACACGUGAAAUUCCGUCGGAAUCUGGGAGGACCAUCUCCCAAGGCUAAAUACUCCCUAGUGAUCGAUAGUGAACCAGUACCGUGAGGGAAAGGUGAAAAGCACCCCGGAAGGGGAGUGAAAGAGAUCCUGAAACCGUGUGCCUACAAAUAGUCAGAGCCCGUUAACGGGUGAUGGCGUGCCUUUUGUAGAAUGAACCGGCGAGUUACGAUCCCGUGCGAGGUUAAGCUGAAGAGGCGGAGCCGCAGCGAAAGCGAGUCUGAAUAGGGCGUUUAGUACGUGGUCGUAGACCCGAAACCAGGUGAUCUACCCAUGUCCAGGGUGAAGUUCAGGUAACACUGAAUGGAGGCCCGAACCCACGCACGUUGAAAAGUGCGGGGAUGAGGUGUGGGUAGCGGAGAAAUUCCAAUCGAACCUGGAGAUAGCUGGUUCUCCCCGAAAUAGCUUUAGGGCUAGCCUUAAGUGUAAGAGUCUUGGAGGUAGAGCACUGAUUGGACUAGGGGUCCUCAUCGGAUUACCGAAUUCAGUCAAACUCCGAAUGCCAAUGACUUAUCCUUAGGAGUCAGACUGCGAGUGAUAAGAUCCGUAGUCAAAAGGGAAACAGCCCAGACCGCCAGCUAAGGUCCCAAAGUGUGUAUUAAGUGGAAAAGGAUGUGGAGUUGCUUAGACAACUAGGAUGUUGGCUUAGAAGCAGCCACCAUUUAAAGAGUGCGUAAUAGCUCACUAGUCGAGUGACUCUGCGCCGAAAAUGUACCGGGGCUAAAUACACCACCGAAGCUGCGGAUUGAUACCAAUGGUAUCAGUGGUAGGGGAGCGUUCUAAGGACAGUGAAGUCAGACCGGAAGGACUGGUGGAGUGCUUAGAAGUGAGAAUGCCGGUAUGAGUAGCGAAAGACGGGUGAGAAUCCCGUCCACCGAAUGCCUAAGGUUUCCUGAGGAAGGCUCGUCCGCUCAGGGUUAGUCAGGACCUAAGCCGAGGCCGACAGGCGUAGGCGAUGGACAACAGGUUGAUAUUCCUGUACCACCUCUUUAUCGUUUGAGCAAUGGAGGGACGCAGAAGGAUAGAAGAAGCGUGCGAUUGGUUGUGCACGUCCAAGCAGUUAGGCUGAUAAGUAGGCAAAUCCGCUUAUCGUAAAGGCUGAGCUGUGAUGGGGAAGCUCCUUAUGGAGCGAAGUCUUUGAUUCCCCGCUGCCAAGAAAAGCUUCUAGCGAGAUAAAAGGUGCCUGUACCGCAAACCGACACAGGUAGGCGAGGAGAGAAUCCUAAGGUGUGCGAGAGAACUCUGGUUAAGGAACUCGGCAAAAUGACCCCGUAACUUCGGGAGAAGGGGUGCUUUCUUAACGGAAAGCCGCAGUGAAUAGGCCCAAGCGACUGUUUAGCAAAAACACAGCUCUCUGCGAAGCCGUAAGGCGAAGUAUAGGGGGUGACACCUGCCCGGUGCUGGAAGGUUAAGGAGAGGGGUUAGCGUAAGCGAAGCUCUGAACUGAAGCCCCAGUAAACGGCGGCCGUAACUAUAACGGUCCUAAGGUAGCGAAAUUCCUUGUCGGGUAAGUUCCGACCCGCACGAAAGGUGUAACGAUUUGGGCACUGUCUCAACCAGAGACUCGGUGAAAUUAUAGUACCUGUGAAGAUGCAGGUUACCCGCGACAGGACGGAAAGACCCCGUGGAGCUUUACUGUAGCCUGAUAUUGAAUUUUGGUACAGUUUGUACAGGAUAGGCGGGAGCCAUUGAAACCGGAGCGCUAGCUUCGGUGGAGGCGCUGGUGGGAUACCGCCCUGACUGUAUUGAAAUUCUAACCUACGGGUCUUAUCGACCCGGGAGACAGUGUCAGGUGGGCAGUUUGACUGGGGCGGUCGCCUCCUAAAGUGUAACGGAGGCGCCCAAAGGUUCCCUCAGAAUGGUUGGAAAUCAUUCGUAGAGUGCAAAGGCAUAAGGGAGCUUGACUGCGAGACCUACAAGUCGAGCAGGGACGAAAGUCGGGCUUAGUGAUCCGGUGGUUCCGCAUGGAAGGGCCAUCGCUCAACGGAUAAAAGCUACCCCGGGGAUAACAGGCUUAUCUCCCCCAAGAGUCCACAUCGACGGGGAGGUUUGGCACCUCGAUGUCGGCUCAUCGCAUCCUGGGGCUGUAGUCGGUCCCAAGGGUUGGGCUGUUCGCCCAUUAAAGCGGUACGCGAGCUGGGUUCAGAACGUCGUGAGACAGUUCGGUCCCUAUCCGUCGUGGGCGUAGGAAAUUUGAGAGGAGCUGUCCUUAGUACGAGAGGACCGGGAUGGACGCACCGCUGGUGUACCAGUUGUUCUGCCAAGGGCAUAGCUGGGUAGCUAUGUGCGGAAGGGAUAAGUGCUGAAAGCAUCUAAGCAUGAAGCCCCCCUCAAGAUGAGAUUUCCCAUAGCGUAAGCUAGUAAGAUCCCUGAAAGAUGAUCAGGUUGAUAGGUUCGAGGUGGAAGCAUGGUGACAUGUGGAGCUGACGAAUACUAAUAGAUCGAGGACUUAACCAUAUAA
rnacentral:rRNA from 1 species